rnacentral:rRNA from 1 species
CCUACGGGAGGCAGCAGUGGGGAAUAUUGGGCAAUGGGCGCAAGCCUGACCCAGCAACGCCGCGUGAAGGAAGAAGGCUUUCGGGUUGUAAACUUCUUUUAAGGGGGAAGAGCAGAAGACGGUACCCCUUGAAUAAGCCACGGCUAACUACGUGCCAGCAGCCGCGGUAAUACGGAGGUGGCAAGCGUUGUCCGGAUUUACUGGGUGUAAAGGGCGUGCAGCCGGAGAGACAAGUCAGAUGUGAAAUCCACGGGCUCAACCCGUGAACUGCAUUUGAAACUGUUUCCCUUGAGUGUCGGAGAGGUAAUCGGAAUUCCAUGUGGAGCGGUGAAAUGCGUAGAUAUAAGGAAGAACACCAGUGGCGAAGGCGGAUUACUGGACGAUAACUGACGGUGAGGCGCGAAAGCGUGGGGAGCAAACAGGAUUAGAUACCCCUGUAGUC